rnacentral:rRNA from 1 species
UACGAAGGGUGCAAGCGUUAAUCGGAAUUACUGGGCGUAAAGCGUGCGUAGGCGGUUAUUUAAGUCUGCUGUGAAAUCCCCGGGCUCAACCUGGGAAUGGCAGUGGAUACUGGAAAGCUAGAGUGCGGUAGAGGGUAGUGGAAUUCCCGGUGUAGCAGUGAAAUGCGUAGAGAUCGGGAGGAACACCAGUGGCGAAGGCGGCUACCUGGACCAGCACUGACACUGAGGCACGAAAGCGUGGGGAGCAAACAGG